rnacentral:rRNA from 1 species
UACGUAGGGUGCAAGCGUUUAAUCGGAAUUACUGGGCGUAAAGCGUGCGCAGGCGGUUUGCUAAGACAGGUGUGAAAUCCCCGGGCUUAACCUGGGAACUGCGCUUGUAACUGGCAAGCUAGAGUGUGGCAGAGGGGGGGUGGAAUUCCACGUGUAGCAGUGAAAUGCGUUAGAGAUGUGGAGGAACACCGAUGGCGAAGGCAGCCCCCUGGGCUGACACUGACGCUCAUGCACGAAAGCGUGGGGAGCAAACAGG